rnacentral:sRNA from 1 species
CGUCAACCAGCUGGGCAAAAUCCUGGGUGCCGACCUGGACGUCAUCAUGUCCCUGAACAACCUGGAUGAGGAGUCCAACAAGAAGCACCCAUUCCCGUGCCCCACGUCCUACCGCACGGCCCUCACCUACUACCUGGACAUCACCAACCCGCCGCGCACCAACGUGCUGUACGAGCUGGCGCAGUACGCCUCGGAGCCCUCGGAGCAGGAGCUGCUGCGCAAGAUGGCCUCCUCCUCCGGCGAGGGCAAGGAGCUGUACCUGAGCUGGGUGGUGGAGGCCCGGAGGCACAUCCUGGCCAUUCUGCAGGACUGCCCGUCCCUGCGGCCCCCCAUCGACCACCUGUGUGAGCUGCUGCCGCGCCUGCAGGCCCGCUACUACUCCAUCGCCUCAUCCUCCAAAGUGAGGGCCGGCCCUGCCCUGCCAGCCACACGCUGGAGGCCCAGCCCUGCUCACAGCACGCAGAGUGCAAGGCCGGCACAGGAGCUCUGAGAGCUGAGCCCUGAGCCACAGUUCCAGCCCCAGAUGCCUCCCCAGGCUGUGGACUCAGU